rnacentral:rRNA from 1 species
GAUGAACGCUGGCGGCGUGCCUAAUACAUGCAAGUCGAGCGAACAGACGAGGAGCUUGCUCCGCUGACGUUAGCGGCGGACGGGUGAGUAACACGUGGAUAACCUACCUAUAAGACUGGGAUAACUUCGGGAAACCGGAGCUAAUACCGGAUAAUAUAUUGAACCGCAGGGUUCAAUAGUGAAAGACGGUUUUGCUGUCACUUAUAGAUGGAUCCGCGCCGCAUUAGCUAGUUGGUAAGGUAACGGCUUACCAAGGCGACGAUGCGUAGCCGACCUGAGAGGGUGAUCGGCCACACUGGAACUGAGACACGGUCCAGACUCCUACGGGAGGCAGCAGUAGGGAAUCUUCCGCAAUGGGCGAAAGCCUGACGGAGCAACGCCGCGUGAGUGAUGAAGGUCUUCGGAUCGUAAAGCUCUGUUAUUAGGGAAGAACAAAUGUGUAAGUAACUAUGCACGUCUUGACGGUACCUAAUCAGAAAGCCACGGCUAACUACGUG